rnacentral:rRNA from 1 species
GAUGAACGCUAGCGGCAGGCCUAAUACAUGCAAGUCGAGGGGUAGAGAAGAGCUUGCUUUUCUUGAGACCGGCGCACGGGUGCGUAACGCGUAUGCAACCUACCUUUAUCAGGGGGAUAGCCUCUCGAAAGAGAGAUUAACACCGCAUAAAAACACAGUACGGCAUCGUGCAAUGUUCAAAUAUUUAUGGAUAAAGAUGGGCAUGCGUGACAUUAGCUAGUUGGUGAGGGAAGGGCUCACCAAGGCGACGAUGUCUAGGGGAUCUGAGAGGACGACCCCCCACACUGGUACUGAGACACGGACCAGACUCCUACGGGAGGCAGCAGUAAGGAAGAUUGGUCAAUGGGGGCAACCCUGAACCAGCCAUGCCGCGUGCAGGAAGACGGCCCUACGGGUUGUAAACUGCUUUUAUACGGGAAUAAACCCCUUUACGUGUAAAGGGUUGAAUGUACAGUAAGAAUAAGGAUCGGCUAACUCCGUGCCAGCAGCAGCCGCAGUAA